GACGAACGCUGGCGGCGUGCCUAACACAUGCAAGUCGAGCGAAGAAUAUAUAAAGAAAUCUUCGGAUGGAAUUAUGUAUUUCUUAGCGGCGGACGGGUGAGUAACGCGUGAGGAACCUGCCUUGUACUAGGGGAUAGCCUCGGGAAACCGGGAUUAAUACCCUAUGACACUUGAAAGUCGCAUGACUUUCAAGUCAAAGCGAUUUAGCGGUACAAGAUGGCCUCGCGUCCCAUUAGCUAGUUGGCGAGGUAAUAGCUCACCAAGGCGACGAUGGGUAGCCGGCCUGAGAGGGCGAACGGCCACACUGGAACUGAGACACGGUCCAGACUCCUACGGGAGGCAGCAGUGGGGAAUAUUGCACAAUGGAGGAAACUCUGAUGCAGCGACGCCGCGUGAGCGAUGAAGGUUUUCGAAUCGUAAAGCUCUGUCCUAAGGGACGAUAAUGACGGUACCUUAGGAGGAAGCCCCGGCUAACUACGUGCCAGCAGCCGCGGUAAUACGUAGGGGGCGAGCGUUGUCCGGAUUUAUUGGGCGUAAAGGGUGCGUAGGCGGCCUUGUAAGUCAGAUGUGAAAUCUCACGGCUUAACCGUGGUAAGCAUUUGAAACUGUGAGGCUUGAGUACAGGAGAGGAGAGUGGAAUUCCUAGUGUAGCGGUGAAAUGCGCAGAGAUCAGGAGGAAUACCGAAGGCGAAGGCAGUCUUCUAAGCCGAUAUUGACGCUAAACUGCGAAGGUGUGGGGAUCAAACAGGAUUAGAUACCCUGGUAGUCCACACAGUAAACGAUAAUCACUAGGUGUUGGGUUCUUAAGAGGAUUCAGUGCCGGAGCUAACGCGAUAAGUGAUUCGCCUGGGGAGUACGAUCGCAAGGUUGAAACUCAA
rnacentral:rRNA from 1 species